rnacentral:rRNA from 1 species
GACGAACGCUGGCGGCGUGGAUUAGGCAUGCAAGUCGAACGGUAUGGACCUUUCGGGGUUCAGAGAGUGGCGAACGGGUGAGUAACACGUAGGUAAUCUACCCUCAAGACGGGGACAACCCAGGGAAACUUGGGCUAAUACCGGAUGUGUGUAGUGGCUAUUUUUCUGAUUAUCAUUAUUUACGUAAGUGAGUAAUAAUAAGAAGGGAAGGUGGUUAUUACAUAAAAGGUGGCGUAAGCUGCCGCUUGGGGAUGAGCCUGCGUCCUAUUAGUUAGUUGGUGAGGUAACGGCUUACCAAGGCGAUGAUAGGUAGGCGGCCUUAACGGGUGGUCGCCCACACUGGGAUUGAGAUACGGCCCAGACUCCUACGGGAGGCAGCAGUCGAGAAUAGUCUACAAUGGACGGAAGUCUGAUAGUGCGACGCCGCGUGAACGAAGAAUCCCUUCGGGGUGUAAAGUUCUUUUAUACGUGAGCAGUGUCCUUUAUAUUAAUAGUAUAAGGGGAGAGAUAUUAGCGUAUGAAUAAGCAACGGCUAA